GAAUCUCCCAAAGCCGGGCUUUGACUGAGGUCCAGGAGGUGGGAGCGGAGCCGGUUCCGGUUGUGAAAGAUUCUGGUCACCGAGUUUAAUCCGGAGGCAUCGGCCCUUCCUGAGGGAUAUAAAAGCUGCUCCUCGGGGGAGCUCCACACCCGCAGCGGCUCCUCCUGAGCUCCCUCCUCCAGCAGGACGCUCCAGGACCCAUCCCAGGAUGUCCCAGCAGCAGAAGCAGCCGCAGCAGAUCCCGGCCCAGUGCCAGCAGAAGUGUGGGGCCCUUCCCAAGGGGGUCCAGCAAAGCCAGGCCUCCAAAGGCCAGGCCCAGGCGGCCGUGAAGAGCCUCCCCCAGCAGCAGCAGCAGCAGCAGCAGUGCUCCAAGCAGAAGUAGGAGCCAUCCAAAUCCCAAAUCCUGCUUUUCCCACCUCUCCUGGCUCCCGGGAACGCCUCCAGACCUGCAGCCAGCUGCUUCGCUUGCCAGAAGUUACCUCAUGACGAGAUGCGCUUAAUUAGGUUUCAAAAAUGAUAAAUGGACGGCGGGGCUGGUUUUAAUUCCGAGUUUAAUUUGGGAUGUGGUGCAAUAAAAUGAUGGAAUGAC